rnacentral:rRNA from 1 species
AUGUUGUCAUGCCAUUGCCGACAUUCGAUCCGUUGCUCUCCUCACCAGUUAUGUGGUUAUCCAUUUGAUCUCUGCCAUUGCAGCUCUUUAUUUGGCAGGGAACUACAAAUUUCAUAUCUACCAUUUGGUGAUAGUAUUCACUUAAAUUACAUGCGCCGUCUAGGGUUUGAAGAGGAGAGAGAGAGAGAGAGAGAGAGAGGGAGAGGGAGGGAGAGGGAGGGAGAGAGGGAGAGGGAGCCUAGAUACAAAGCUCUAGACCAAGACAAAUCACUCGUGUGUGUCGGUGUUUGCCAAAAACCUGGUAUUUCUAUAUGGUUUGCCAUGGCAGGUGCCUUCACAGCAGUAGCCUUCAAGUAA